GCUCAGUGGGUGAGUGUGAUAGGGAGUAUAGGAGUGAGUGAGAAAGGCCAAGGAGUAUAGCUCAGUGGGUAGAGUGACUGGCUGGCACCCGGGAGGCUGGGGAUCGAUUCCAGGUGUGAGUGAGAUUGGCAUAGGGAGGAUAGCAGUGAGUGAGAAAGGGAGUAUCGCUCAGUGGGUGAGUGAGAUAGGGAGUAUAGCUCAGUGGCUGAGUGUGAUAGGGAGUAUAGGAGUGAGUGAGAAAGGCCAAGGAGUAUAGCUCAGUGGAAAGAGUGACUGGCUGGCACCCGGGAGGCUGUGGAUCGAUUCCAGGUGUGAGUGAGUGAGAUUGGCAUAGGGAGGAUAGCAGUGAGUGAGAUAGGGAGUAUAGCUCAGUGGGUGAGUGAGAUAGGGAGUAUAGCUCAGUGGGUGAGUGUGAUAGGGAGUAUAGGAGUCAGUGAGAAAGGCCAAGGAGUAUAGCUCAGUGGGUAGAGUGACUGGCUGGCACCCGGGAGGCUGGGGAUCGAUUCCAGGUGUGAGUGAGUGAGAUUGGCAUAGGGAGGAUAGCAGUGAGUGAGAUAGGGAGUAUAGCUCAGUGGGUGAGUGAGAUAGGGAGUAUAGGAAUGACUGAGAAAAGCCAAGAAGUACAGCUCAGUGGGUAGAGUGACUGGCUGGCACCCGGGAGGCUGGGGAUCGAUUCCUGGUGUGAGUGAGUGAGUUUGGCAAAGGGAGGAUAGCAGUGAGUGAGAUAGGGAGUAUAGCUCAGUGGGUGAGUGAGAUAGGGAGUAUAGCUCAGUGGGUGAGUGUGAUAGGGAGUAUAGGAGUGAGUGAGAAAGGCCAAGGAGUAUAGCUCAAUGCGUAGAGUGACUGGCUGGCACCCGGGAGGCUGGGGAUCGAUUCCAGGUGUGAGUGAGUGAGAUUGGCAUUGGGAGGAUAGCUCAGUGGGUGAGUGUGAUAGGGAGUAUAGCUUAGUGGGUGAGUGAGAUAGGGAGUAUAGCUCAGUGGGUGAGUGUGAUAGGGAGUAUAUGAGUGAGUGAGAAAGGCCAAGGAGUAUAGCUCAGUGGGUAGAGUGACUGGCUGGCACCCGGGAGGCUGGGGAUCGAUUCCAGGUGUGAGUGAGUGAGAUUGGCAUAGGGAGGAUAGCAGUGAGUGAGAUAGGGAGUAUAGGAAUGACUGAGAAAGGCCAAGAAGUAUCGCUCAGUGGGUAGAGUGACUGGCUGGCACCCGGGAGGCUGGGGAUCGAUUCCAGGUGUGAGUGAGUGAGAUUGGCAUAGGGAGGAUAGCAGUGAGUGAGAUAGGGAGUAUAGCUCAGUGGGUGAGUGAGAUAGGGAGUAUAGCUCAGUGGGUGAGUGUGAUAGGGAGUAUAGGAGUGAGUGAGAAAAGCCAAGGAGUAUAGCUCAAUGCGUAGAGUGACUGGCUGGCACCCGGGAGGCUGGGGAUCGAUUCCAGGUGUGAGUGAGUGAGAUUGGCAUUGGGAGGAUAGCUCAGUGGGUGAGUGUGAUAGGGAGUAUAGCUUAGUGGGUGAGUGAGAUAGGGAGUAUCGCUCAGUGGGAAGAGUGACUGGCUGGUACCCGGGAGGCUGGGGAUCGAUUCCAGGUGUGAGUGAGUGAGAUUGGCAUUGGGAGGAUAGCUCAGUGGGUGAGUGUGAUAGGGAGUAUAGCUUAGUGGGUGAGUGAGAUAGGGAGUAUCGCUCAGUGGGAAGAGUGACUGGCUGGUACCCGGGAGGCUGGGGAUCGAUUCCAGGUGUGAGUGAGUGAGAUUGGCAUAGGGAGUAUAGCUCAGUGGGUGAGUGAGAUAGGGAGUAUAGGAGUGAGUGAGAAAGGCCAAGGAGUAUAGCUCAAUGCGUAGAGUGACUGGCUGGCACCCGGGAGGCUGGGGAUCGAUUCCAGGUGUGAGUGAGUGAGAUUGGCAUAGGGAGGAUAGCUCAGUCGGUGAGUGAGAAAGGGAGUAUAGCUCAGUGGGUGAGUGUGAUAGGGAGUAUAUGAGUGAGUGAGAAAGGCCAAGGAGUAUAGCUCAGUGGGUAGAGUGACUGGCUGGCACCCGGGAGGCUGGGGAUCGAUUCCAGGUGUGAGUGAGUGAGAUUGGCAUAGGGAGGAUAGCAGUGAGUGAGAUAGGGAGUAUGGAUCAGUGGGUGAGUGAGAUAGGGAGUAUAGCUCAGUGGGUGAGUGUGAUAGGGAGUAUAUGGGUGAGUGAGAAAGGCCAAGGAGUAUAUCUCAGUGGGUAGAGUGACGGCCUGGCACCCGGGAGGCUGGGGAUUGAUUCCAGGUGUGAGUGAAAUUGGCAUAGGGAGGAUAGCAGUGAGUGAGAUAGGGAGUACAGCUCAGUGGGUGAGUGAGAUAGGGAGUAUAGCUCAGUGGGUGAGUGUGAUAGGGAGUAUAGGAGUCAGUGAGAAAGGCCAAGGAGUAUAGCUCAGUGGGUAGAGUGACUGGCUGGCACCCGGGAGGCUGGGGAUCGAUUCCAGGUGUGAGUGAGUGAGAUUGGCAUAGGGAGGAUAGCAGUGAGUGAGAUAGGGAGUAUAGCUCAGUGGGUGAGUGAGAUAGGGAGUAUAGGAAUGAGUGAGAAAGGCCAAGAAGUAUAGCUCAGUGGGUAGAGUGACUGGCUGGCACCCGGGAGGCUCGGGAUCGAUUCCAGGUGUGAGUGAGUGAGAUUGGCAUAGGGAGGAUAGCUCAGUGGGUGAGUCAGAUAGGGAGUAUUGCUCAGUGGGUGAGUGUGAUAGGGAGUAUAGGAGUGAGUGAGAAAGGCCAAGGAGUAUAGCUCAGUGGGUAGAGUGACUGGCUGGCACCCGGGAGGGCUGGGGAUCGAUUCCAGGUGUGAGUGAGUGAGAUUGGCAUCGGGAGGAUAGCAGUGAGUGAGAUAGGGAGUAUAGCUCAGUGGGUGAGUGAGAUAGGGAGGAUAGCUCAGUGGGUGAGUGAGAUAGGGAGUAUUCGAGUGAGUGAGAAAGGCCAAGGAGUAUAGCUCAGUGGGUAGAGUGACUGGCUGGCACCCGGGAGGCUGGGGAUCGAUUCCAGGUGUGAGUGAGAUUGGCAUCGGGAGGAUUGCAGUGAGUGAGAUAGGGAGAACAGCUCAGUGGGUGAGUGUGAUAGGGAGUAUAGGAGUGAGUGAGAAACGCCAAGGAGUAUAGCUCAGUGGGUGAGUGAGAUAGGGAGUAUAGCUCAGUGGGUGAGUGUGAUAGGGAUUACAGGAGUGAGUGAGAAAGGCCAAGGAGUAUAGCUCAGUGGGUAGAGUGACUGGCUGGCACCCGGGAGGCUGGGGAUCGAUUCCAGGUGUGAGUGAGUGAGAUUGGCAUAGGGAGGAUAGCAGUGAGUGAGAAGGGGAGUAUCGCUCAGUGGGUGAGUGAGAUAGGGAGGCUGGGGAUCGAUUCCAAGUGUGAGUGAGUGAGAUUGGCAAAGGGAGGAUAGCAGUGAGUGAGAUAGGGAGUAUCGCUCAGUGGGUGAGUGAGAUAGGGAGUAUAGCUCAGUGGGUGAGUGUGAAAGGGAGUAUCCGAGUGAGUGAGAAAGGCCAAGGAGUAUAGCUCAGUGGGUAGAGUGACUGGCUGGCACCCGGGAGGCUGGGGAUCGAUUCCAGGUGUGAGUGAGAUUGGCAUCGGGAGGAUUGCAGUGAGUGAGAUAGGGAGUAUAGCUCAGUGGGUGAGUGUGAUAGGGAUUACAGGAGUGAGUGAGAAAGGCCAAGGAGUAUAGCUCAGUGGGUAGAGUGACUGGCUGGCACCCGGGAGGCUGGGGAUCGAUUCCAGGUGUGAGUGAGUGAGAUUGGCAUAGGGAGGAUAGCAGUGAGUGAGAUAGGGAGUAUAGCUCAGUGGGUUGAGUGACUGGCUGGCACCUGGGAGGCUGGGGAUCGAUUCCAGGUGUGAGUGAGUGAGAUUGGCAUAGGGAGGAUAGCAGUGAGUGAGAUAGGGAGUAUAGCUCAGUGGGUGAGUGAGAUAGGGAGUAUUCGAGUGAGUGAGAAAGGCCAAGGAGUAUAGCUCAGUGGGUAGAGUGACUGGCUGGCACCCGGGACGCUGGGGAUCGAUUCCAGGUGUGAGUGAGAUUGGCAUCGGGAGGAUUGCAGUGAGUGAGAUAGGGAGAACAGCUCAGUGGGUGAGUGUGAUAGGGAGUAUAGGAGUGAGUGAGUGAGAAACGCCAAGGAGUAUCGCUCAGUGGGUGAGUGAGAUAGGGAGUAUAGCUCAGUGGGUGAGUGAGAUAGGGGGUAUAGGAGUGAGUGAGAAAGGCCAAGGAGAAUAGCUCAGUGGGAAGAGUGACUGGCUGGCACCCGGGAGGCUGGAGAUCGAUUCCAGGUGUGAGUGAGUGAGAUUGGCAUAGGGAGGAUAGCUCAGUGGGUGAGUGAGAAAGGCCAAGGAGUAUAGCUCAGUGGGUAGAGUGACUGGCUGGCACCCGGGAGGCUGGGGAUCGAUUCCAGGUGUGAGUGAGUGAGAUUGGCAUAGGGAGGAUAGCUCAGUGGGUGAGUCAGAUAGGGAGUAUUGCUCAGUGGGUGAGUGUGAUAGGGAGUAUAGGAGUGAGUGAGAAAGGCCAAGGAGUAUAGCUCAGUGGGUAGAGUGACUGGCUGGCACCCGGGAGGGCUGGGGAUCGAUUCCAGGUGUGAGUGAGUGAGAUUGGCAUCGGGAGGAUAGCAGUGAGUGAGAUAGGGAGUAUAGCUCAGUGGGUGAGUGAGAUAGGGAGGAUAGCUCAGUGGGUGAGUGAGAUAGGGAGUAUUCGAGUGAGUGAGAAAGGCCAAGGAGUAUAGCUCAGUGGGUAGAGUGACUGGCUGGCACCCGGGAGGCUGGGGAUCGAUUCCAGGUGUGAGUGAGAUUGGCAUCGGGAGGAUUGCAGUGAGUGAGAUAGGGAGAACAGCUCAGUGGGUGAGUGUGAUAGGGAGUAUAGGAGUGAGUGAGAAACGCCAAGGAGUAUAGCUCAGUGGGUGAGUGAGAUAGGGAGUAUAGCUCAGUGGGUGAGUGUGAUAGGGAUUACAGGAGUGAGUGAGAAAGGCCAAGGAGUAUAGCUCAGUGGGUAGAGUGACUGGCUGGCACCCGGGAGGCUGGGGAUCGAUUCCAGGUGUGAGUGAGUGAGAUUGGCAUAGGGAGGAUAGCAGUGAGUGAGAAGGGGAGUAUCGCUCAGUGGGUGAGUGAGAUAGGGAGUAUAGCUCAGUGGGUGAGUGAGAUAGAGAGUAUAGGAGUGAGUGAGAAAGGCCAAGGUGUAUAGCUCAGUGGGACGAGUGACUGGCUGGCACCCGGGAGGCUCGGGAUCGAUUCCAGGUGUGAGUGAGAGAGAUUGGCAUAGGGAGGAUAGCAGUGAGUGAGAUAGAGAGUAUCGCUCAGUGGGUGAGUGAGAUAGGCCAAGGAGUAGAGCUCAGUGGGUUGAGUGACUGACUGGCACCCGGGAGGCUGGGGAUCGAUUCCAGGUGUGAGUGAGAUUGGCAUCGGGAGUAUAGCUCAGUGGGUGAGUGAGAAAGGGAGUAUAGCUCAGUGGGUGAGUGAGAUAGGGAGUAUACGAGUGAGUGAGAAACGCCAAGGAGUAUAGCUCAGUGGGUGAGUGAGAUAGGGAGUAUAGCUCAGUGGGUGAGUGUGAUAGGGAUUACAGGAGUGAGUGAGAAAGGCCAAGGAGUAUAGCUCAGUGGGUAGAGUGACUGGCUGGCACCCGGGAGGCUGGGGAUCGAUUCCAGGUGUGAGUGAGAUUGGCAUCGGGAGGAUUGCAGUGAGUGAGAUAGGGAGUAUAGCUCAGUGGGUGAGUGUGAUAGGGAUUACAGGAGUGAGUGAGAAAGGCCAAGGAGUAUAGCUCAGUGGGUAGAGUGACUGGCUGGCACCCGGGAGGCUGGGGAUCGAUUCCAGGUGUGAGUGAGUGAGAUUGGCAUAGGGAGGAUAGCAGUGAGUGAGAUAGGGAGUAUAGCUCAGUGGGUUGAGUGACUGGCUGGCACCUGGGAGGCUGGGGAUCGAUUCCAGGUGUGAGUGAGUGAGAUUGGCAUAGGGAGGAUAGCAGUGAGUGAGAUAGGGAGUAUAGCUCAGUGGGUGAGUGAGAUAGGGAGUAUUCGAGUGAGUGAGAAAGGCCAAGGAGUAUAGCUCAGUGGGUAGAGUGACUGGCUGGCACCCGGGACGCUGGGGAUCGAUUCCAGGUGUGAGUGAGAUUGGCAUCGGGAGGAUUGCAGUGAGUGAGAUAGGGAGAACAGCUCAGUGGGUGAGUGUGAUAGGGAGUAUAGGAGUGAGUGAGAAACGCCAAGGAGUAUCGCUCAGUGGGUGAGUGAGAUAGGGAGUAUAGCUCAGUGGGUGAGUGAGAUAGGGGGUAUAGGAGUGAGUGAGAAAGGCCAAGGAGAAUAGCUCAGUGGGAAGAGUGACUGGCUGGCACCCGGGAGGCUGGAGAUCGAUUCCAGGUGUGAGUGAGUGAGAUUGGCAUAGGGAGGAUAGCUCAGUGGGUGAGUGAGAAAGGCCAAGGAGUAUAGCUCAGUGGGUAGAGUGACUGGCUGGCACCCGGGAGGCUGGGGAUUGAUUCCAGGUGUGAGUGAGUGAAAUUGGCAUAGGGAGGAUAGCAGUGAGUGAGAUAGGGAGUAUAGCUCAGUGGGUGAGUGUGAUAGGGAGUAUAGGAGUGAGUGAGAAAGGCCAAGGAGUAUAGCUCAGUGGGUAGAGUGACUGGCUGGCACGCGGGAGGCUGGGGAUCGAUUCCAGGUGUGAGUGAGAUUGGCAUAGGGAGGAUAGCAGUGAGUGAGAUAGGGAGUAUAGCUCAGUGGGUGAGUGAGAUAGGGAGUAUAGCUCAGUGGGUGAGUGUGAUAGGGAGUAUAGGAGUGAGUGAGAAAAGCCAAGGAGUAUAGCUCAAUGCGUAGAGUGACUGGCUGGCACCCGGGAGGCUGGGGAUCGAUUCCAGGUGUGAGUGAGUGAGAUUGGCAUUGGGAGGAUAGCUCAGUGGGUGAGUGUGAUAGGGAGUAUAGCUUAGUGGGUGAGUGAGAUAGGGAGUAUCGCUCAGUGGGAAGAGUGACUGGCUGGUACCCGGGAGGCUGGGGAUCGAUUCCAGGUGUGAGUGAGUGAGAUUGGCAUUGGGAGGAUAGCUCAGUGGGUGAGUGUGAUAGGGAGUAUAGCUUAGUGGGUGAGUGAGAUAGGGAGUAUCGCUCAGUGGGAAGAGUGACUGGCUGGUACCCGGGAGGCUGGGGAUCGAUUCCAGGUGUGAGUGAGUGAGAUUGGCAUAGGGAGUAUAGCUCAGUGGGUGAGUGAGAUAGGGAGUAUAGGAGUGAGUGAGAAAGGCCAAGGAGUAUAGCUCAAUGCGUAGAGUGACUGGCUGGCACCCGGGAGGCUGGGGAUCGAUUCCAGGUGUGAGUGAGUGAGAUUGGCAUAGGGAGGAUAGCUCAGUCGGUGAGUGAGAAAGGGAGUAUAGCUCAGUGGGUGAGUGUGAUAGGGAGUAUAUGAGUGAGUGAGAAAGGCCAAGGAGUAUAGCUCAGUGGGUAGAGUGACUGGCUGGCACCCGGGAGGCUGGGGAUCGAUUCCAGGUGUGAGUGAGUGAGAUUGGCAUAGGGAGGAUAGCAGUGAGUGAGACAGGGAGUAUGGAUCAGUGGGUGAGUGAGAUAGGGAGUAUAGCUCAGUGGGUGAGUGUGAUAGGGAGUAUAUGGGUGAGUGAGAAAGGCCAAGGAGUAUAUCUCAGUGGGUAGAGUGACGGCCUGGCACCCGGGAGGCUGGGGAUUGAUUCCAGGUGUGAGUGAAAUUGGCAUAGGGAGGAUAGCAGUGAGUGAGAUUGGGAGUAUCGCUCAGUGGGUGAGUGAGAUAGGGAGUAUAGCUCAGUGGGUGAGUGAGAUAGGGAGUAUAGCUCAGUGGGUGAGUGUGAUAGGGAGUAUAGGAGUCAGUGAGAAAGGCCAAGGAGUAUAGCUCAGUGGGUAGAGUGACUGGCUGGCACCCGGGAGGCUGGGGAUCGAUUCCAGGUGUGAGUGAGUGAGAUUGGCAUAGGGAGGAUAGCAGUGAGUGAGAUAGGGAGUAUAGCUCAGUGGGUGAGUGAGAUAGGGAGUAUAGGAAUGAGUGAGAAAGGCCAAGAAGUAUAGCUCAGUGGGUAGAGUGACUGGCUGGCACCCGGGAGGCUCGGGAUCGAUUCCAGGUGUGAGUGAGUGAGAUUGGCAUAGGGAGGAUAGCUCAGUGGGUGAGUGUGAUAGGGAGUAUAUGAGUGAGUGAGAAAGGCCAAGGAGUAUAUCUCAGUGGGUAGAGUGACGGGCUGGCACCCGGGAGGCUGGGGAUCGAUUCCAGGUGUGAGUGAGUGAGAUUGGCAUAGGGAGGAUAGCAGUGAGUGAGAUUGGGAGUAUCGCUCAGUGGGUGAGUGAGAAAGGGAGUAUAGGACUGAGUGAGAAAGGCGAAGGAGUAUAGCUCGGUGGGUAGAGUGACUGGCUGGCACCCGGGAGGCUGGGGAUCGAUUCCAGGUGUGAGUGAGUGAGAUUGGCAUAGGGAGGAUAGCAGUGAGUGAGAUAGGGAGUAUAGCUCAUUGGGUGAGUGAGAUAGGGAGUAUUGCUCAGUGGGUGAGUGUGAUAGGGAGUAUAGGAGUCAGUGAGAAAGGCCAAGGAGUAUAGCUCAGUGGGUAGAGUGACUGGCUGGCACCCGGGAGGCUGGGGAUCGAUUCCAGGUGUGAGUGAGUGAGAUUGGCAUAGGGAGGAUAGCGGUGAGUGAGAUAGGGAGUAUAGCUCAGUGGGUUGAGUGACUGGCUGGCACCUGGGAGGCUGGGGAUCGAUUCCAGGUGUGAGUGAGUGAGAUUGGCAUAGGGAGGAUAGCAGUGAGUGAGAUAGGGAGUAUAGCUCAGUGGGUGAGUGAGAUAGGGAGUAUUCGAGUGAGUGAGAAAGGCCAAGGAGUAUAGCUCAGUGGGUAGAGUGACUGGCUGGCACCUGGGAGGCUGGGGAUCGAUUCCAGGUGUGAGUGAGUGAGAUUGGCAUAGGGAGGAUAGCAGUGAGUGAGAUAGGGAGUAUAGCUCAGUGGGUGAGUGUGAUAGGGAGUAUAGGAGUGAGUGAGAAAGGCCAAGGAGUAUAGCUCAGUGGGUAGAGUGACUGGCUGGCACCUGGGAGGCUGGGGAUCGAUUCCAGGUGUGAGUGAGUGAGAUUGGCAUAGGGAGGAUAGCAGUGAGUGAGAUAGGGAGUAUAGCUCAGUGGGUGAGUGUGAUAGGGAGUAUAGGAGUGAGUGAGAAAGGCCAAGGAGUAUAGCUCAGUGGGUAGAGUGACUGGCUGGCACCUGGGAGGCUGGGGAUCGAUUCCAGGUGUGAGUGAGUGAGAUUGGCAUAGGGAGGAUAGCAGUGAGUGAGAUAGGGAGUAUAGCUCAGUGGGUGAGUGUGAUAGGGAGUAUAGGAGUGAGUGAGAAAGGCCAAGGAGUAUAGCUCAGUGGGUAGAGUGACUGGCUGGCACCCGGGAGGCUGGGGAUCGAUUCCAAGUGUGAGUGAGUGAGAUUGGCAUAGGGAGGAUAGCUCAGUGGGUGAGUGAGAAAGGCCAAGGAGUAUAGCUCAGUGGGUAGAGUGACUGGCUGGCACCCGGGAGGCUGGGGAUUGAUUCCAGGUGUGAGUGAGUAAGAUUGGCGUAGGGAGGAUAGCAGUGAGUGAGAUAGGGAGUAUAGCUCAGUGGGUGAGUGAGAUAGGGAGUAUAGCUCAGUGGGUGAGUGUGAUAGGGAGUAUAUGAGUGAGUGAGAAAGGCCAAGGAGUAUAUCUCAGUGGGUAGAGUGACUGGCUGGCACCCGGGAGGCUGGGGAUCGAUUCCAGGUGUGAGUGAGUGAGAUUGGCAUAGGGAGGAUAGCUCAGUGGGUGAGUCAGAUAGGGAGUAUUGCUCAGUGGGUGAGUGUGAUAGGGAGUAUAGGAGUGAGUGAGAAAGGCCAAGGAGUAUAGCUCAGUGGGUAGAGUGACUGGCUGGCACCCGGGAGGGCUGGGGAUCGAUUCCAGGUGUGAGUGAGUGAGAUUGGCAUCGGGAGGAUAGCAGUGAGUGAGAUAGGGAGUAUAGCUCAGUGGGUGAGUGAGAUAGGGAGGAUAGCUCAGUGGGUGAGUGAGAUAGGGAGUAUUCGAGUGAGUGAGAAAGGCCAAGGAGUAUAGCUCAGUGGGUAGAGUGACUGGCUGGCACCCGGGAGGCUGGGGAUCGAUUCCAGGUGUGAGUGAGAUUGGCAUCGGGAGGAUUGCAGUGAGUGAGAUAGGGAGAACAGCUCAGUGGGUGAGUGUGAUAGGGAGUAUAGGAGUGAGUGAGAAACGCCAAGGAGUAUAGCUCAGUGGGUGAGUGAGAUAGGGAGUAUAGCUCAGUGGGUGAGUGUGAUAGGGAUUACAGGAGUGAGUGAGAAAGGCCAAGGAGUAUAGCUCAGUGGGUAGAGUGACUGGCUGGCACCCGGGAGGCUGGGGAUCGAUUCCAGGUGUGAGUGAGUGAGAUUGGCAUAGGGAGGAUAGCAGUGAGUGAGAAGGGGAGUAUCGCUCAGUGGGUGAGUGAGAUAGGGAGUAUAGCUCAGUGGGUGAGUGAGAUAGAGAGUAUAGGAGUGAGUGAGAAAGGCCAAGGUGUAUAGCUCAGUGGGACGAGUGACUGGCUGGCACCCGGGAGGCUCGGGAUCGAUUCCAGGUGUGAGUGAGAGAGAUUGGCAUAGGGAGGAUAGCAGUGAGUGAGAUAGAGAGUAUCGCUCAGUGGGUGAGUGAGAUAGGCCAAGGAGUAGAGCUCAGUGGGUUGAGUGACUGACUGGCACCCGGGAGGCUGGGGAUCGAUUCCAGGUGUGAGUGAGAUUGGCAUCGGGAGUAUAGCUCAGUGGGUGAGUGUGAUAGGGAGUAUCGCUCAGUGGGUGAGUGUGAUAGGGAUUAUAUCUCAGAGGGUAGUGACUGGCUGGCACCCGGGAGCCUGGGGAUCGAUUCCAGGUGUGAGUGAGAGAGAUUGGCAUAGGGAGGAUAGCAGUGAGUGAGAUUGGGAGUAUCGCUCAGUGGGUGAGUGAGAUAGGGAGUGUAGCUCAGUGGGUGAGUGAGAAAGGGAGUAUAGCUCAGUGGGUGAGUGAGAUAGGGAGUAUACGAGUGAGUGAGAAACGCCAAGGAGUAUAGCUCAGUGGGUGAGUGUGAUAGGGAGUAUAUGAGUGAGUGAGAAAGGCCAAGGAGUAUAUCUCAGUGGGUAGAGUGACUGGCUGGCACCCGGGAGGCUGGGGAUCGAUUCCAGGUGUGAGUGAGUGAGAUUGGCAUAGGGAGGAUAGCAGUGAGUGAGAUAGGGAGUAUAGCUCAGUGGGUGAGUGAGAUAGGGAGUAUAGCUCAGUGGGUGAGUGUGAUAGGGAGUAUAGGAGUGAGUGAGAAAGGCCAAGGAGUAUAGCUCAGUGGGUAGAGUGAGAUAGGCAAAGGGAGUAUAGUCGUGAGUGAGAUAGGCAUAGGGAGUAUAGCUCAGUGGGUAGAGUGACUGGCUGGCACCCGGGAGGCUGGGGAUUGAUUCCAGGUGUGAGUGAAAUUGGCAUAUGGAGGAUAGCAGUGAGUGAGAUAGGGAGUAUAGCUCAGUGGGUGAGUGUGAUAGGGAGUGUAGGAGUGAGUGAGAAAGGCCAAGGAGUAUAGCUCAGUGGGUAGAGUGACUGGCUGGCACCCGGGAGGCUGGGGAUCGAUUCCAGGUGUGAGUGAGUGAGAUUGGCAUAGGGAGGAUAGCAGUGAGUGAGUGAGUGAGAUAGGGAGUAUAGCUCACUGGGUGAGUGAGAUAGGCAUAGGGAUAAUAGGAGUGAGUGAGAUAGGCAUAGGGAGUAUAGGAGUGAGUUAGUGAGAUAGGCAUAGGGAGUAUAGCUCAGUGGAUGAGUGAGAAAGUAAUAGGGAGUAUAGCUCAGUGGGAAGAGUGGCUGGCUGGCACCCGGGAGGCCGGGGUUCGAUUCCAGGUGUGAGUGAGUGAGAUGGAGUAUAGGAGUGAGUGAGAUAGGCAUAGGGAGUAUCGGAGUGAGUGAGUGAGUGAGUGAGUGAGAUAGGCAUGGGGAGGAUAGCAGUGAGUGAGUGAGAUAGGCAUAGGGAUAAUAGGAGUGAGUGAGAUAGGCAUAGGGAGUAUAGGAGUGAGAUAGGCAUAGGGAGUAUGUGAGAUAGGCAUUGGGAGUAUAGCUCAGUGGGUGGUUGAGAUAGGCAUUUUCUCUCAUCAAGAUAAUGUCACCUUCCUGCAAGUUAAACCUUUUGUCUUGCCACUUGGCUUGACCUUGCAGGGUGUUCAGAUACUCACGUUGCCACUUGUGCCAAAAUUUCUCUGCGAGGUGUUGUCCCAGCUUCCACUGGUGACGGAUGAUCUCUGGCUGACCAAAGUCAGGUGGAGGCGAUGACUGAGUUCCUGUCUUUUGUGUCAGGAGCAUGGAGGGGGUAAGUAUGAGGGGGUUCUCAGGGUCAGUUGACACAGGCAGCAGGGGUCUCGCAUUCACGAUUGCACAGACCUCUGCCAUGAGAGUGACGAAGACCUCGUGUGUCAGUGAAGUGAAGUGCUGCUGCAGAAACAUGGAGUCUAGGAUGCAUUAAUGCAUUAAUGCAUUAAUGAAACUGGAUGUAGUCAGUGUCUCUAUCACUUCAAUGUGCACAGCACGCACACACAGACAGGUAAACAUAACUGCCCACCUUUUGCUGUUUGCCUGCCCACCUCUUGUCCGACGGCUGAUGACCUCCCACGGGCCAAACACGUCCAGGCCGAAGUACGUGAAAGGUGGGGCAGCUUGCAGCCGGUCUGCAGGCAGAUCUGCCAUCAGCUGAUGUUCUCUUUUGCCACGCAGCCUCCUGCAGGUGACACACCGGAACAGUGUGCCUCUGAUGCACCUCUUUCCACCCACCAGCCACAGUCCAGCAUCCCUGAUGGCUCCCUCCGUAAAGUGUCUGCCCUGGUGUUGAACCUGCUCAUGGUGGUGGCGCACAAGGAGAGUCGUCAGGUGGUGCUGAGCUGGGAUGAUGAGGGGAUUGGUGCGGUUUAUUUCAAGGCCAGACUGUGUGAUCCGUCCACCCACUCUGAGAAGUCCACAGCUGUCAAUCACUGGGCGUAGCUUUGCUAUGUUGCUCUGUGUAGGAAUGUCUGUCUCACUCUGAAUGUUGUUGAAUUCACGAGGAUAUCUUUCUUGUUGCGUGUUUUUGAUCAGCAGUUUCUUUGCUUUUUCUAGGUUCUCUGGCGUGAUUGCUUUCUUACAGGUAUGCCACCCUCUGCAUGUGCUGUCUUUGUCUGUUUGCCUGAAACACUGUGCCAUGUGAAUCAAGACUGCAAGUGGUCUAAGCACAGAUGCCCACUUUGAGAAACGCUCGAAGCGCUCCGUGCCUAAGCUGGACUGUGUGGUUUCAGUGACUAACACUGUGGCUUGAGGUCUGAUUUCAGAGUCUGACUCUGGGUCAACUCGGUCAUACAGUGACUGGUGAUCAGCUGGAGGCUUACCAGACAGGAAGGCAGGUCCGGUCAGCCAGUUGAUGUCUCUCAGUGAUGCAGCGGUGACAGAUCUGGAGCCGUGGUCUGCUGGGUUGAGCUCUGAGGGGACGUACAGCCACUGUUGAGGUGAAGUUGUUUGUCGGAUGCGUUGGACCCUAUUGCUUACAUACACAUAGAAUCUUCUCUGUUCGUUGUUGAUGUAACCUAACAUAACUUUGCUGUCUGAAUAGAAAGUGACAGAGUUCAUGUGCAAGUCCAUGCUACUCACUACACUCUCAGCUAUCUCGACAGCAAGGACGGCUGUACACAGUUCGAGUCUGGGGAUUGUGGUUUCUUUCACCGGUGUCAGCUUUGCUUUGCCAAGCACAAAUCCGACUUCGGAGUGUCCAUCUUCAUCGGUCACCUUCAGAUAGGCAACCGCUGCAAUUGCUUUGGUUGACGCAUCCGCAAACACACACAACUCUCUUGAGCUUGCUGCAUAGGUGGAGAGAGAUGUGUAGCAGCGGGGGAUCCGUAGGUCUUGAAGGCAUUGUAGGGAGGACUUCCAUCUCAACCACUCUGCAUGGAGGUGUUCAGGUAAUGGAGAGUCCCACUCACCAUUUUCCAUGGUCAGCGCUCUCAGCAGCGAUCGUCCCUGUAUGGUGACAGGUGAGAGAAAGCCAAGUGGGUCGAAGAUGCUGUUUAUGGUUGAGAGCACGCCUCUGCGUGUGAAGGGCUUGUCGUCUCUCUGCACUUGAAAGGUGAAGGUGUCUGUGACUAUGUUCCAGCUGAUACCUAGGCUACGCUGUAUGGGAACGUCGUCGGUGGUGAAGUCCAGGUCUUUGAUGCUGCUUGCACGGUCCUCAGGGGGGAAUUCAGCCAUGACAGCUGCACUGUUUGAUGUGAUCUUGUGCAGCCGGAGAUGGUUGUGGGAGAGCAUCUCCUUUGCUCGCUUCACCACGCUGAUGGCUUCUGACUCUGUUGCAAACGACUUAAGGGCAUUGUCAACAUAAAAGUCUUUCUCAAUGAAUGCUCUGACAUCAGAGCCGAAUUCAGAUUCUGCUUCUCUUGCUGCUCUCCUGAGGCAGUAGAUUGCUACAGCAGGAGAUGGUGUAUUGCCAAACACAUGCACACGCAUUCUGUAGUCUAUGAUGUCACUGUCCCAGUUGUUGUCGCGGAACCACAGGAACCUCAGGUAGUCUCUGUGCUCCUCCUUGACUACAAAGCAGUAAAACAUGUGUUGAAUGUCUGCAGUCACAGCGAUUUUAUCUUUUCUGAACCUAAUGAGGACACCUAACAGGUCAUUGUUCAGAUCUGGGCCUUUUAAUAAGACAUUGUUCAGUGAAAUCCCUUCAUACUGAACACUUGAGUCAAACACGAUGCAAAUCUGUUCUGGUUUCUUGGGGUGGUAGAUGCCAAAGGAUGGCAAAUACCAGCUUUCUUGUCCCUCUUGGAGGGCUGGGGCAAUCUCUGCAUGCUGAUUGUCAAUCAUCUUUUGCAUGAACUGCAUAUAAUGUUCUUUCAUGGUAGGUUUUUUCUCUAAUGUACGACAGACUGACUUGAGUCUUUUCAUGACAUAGUCUCUGUUGUUUGGCAGCUGUUCUCUCAGAGCCUUAAAAGGCAAGGGUGCGACCCAGCUUUGAGUGCUGUCUUGACAUACCUCAGUAUCCAUGAUCUUCAGGAAGUUGAGGUCAUCGAUGGACGGAGCAGGUUGGUGGUCUUUGUCGGUGCAGUGGAAGACGGAGGGCUCCAGGUCGUCCCUGUGCAGCAGAGGAGCAGUGUGGACAGCGGCUUGCUGAGGCAGGGGAACACAAAGGACUGAGUGGCUGUGUGGAGGGUCUUUCACACGCAGGUGGCUGGAGCAGGGUGUGAGGUAGCUGGGGCGGCCAUCUCCCAAGAUACAUGUUUUUAGGGCAGUGACUGAAGAGGGACGGUGCGCUGUGCCGAGGCACACGUCACCAAUCACCACCCAGCCUAAGUCUAGCUUUUGAGCGAAUGGGGCAUUGUCGGGGAAGUUGAUCUGUUUUCUGAUCUUGUGUAUGCUCAAAACAUCUCUCCCUAGCAACAGCAGUAUCUGGGCACUGGAGUCUAAGGGGAGAAUCUCAUUGGCUAUGCAUCUCAGGUGAGGGUGAUGCAAAGCUGCACUGGGUGUUGGGAUUUCAGACCUAUUGUCUUGUGCACUUGGAGGAGACUGUCUCUGGAGGUCACUGGUUCUUACUGCCCUCCCUGCCGUUCUCUGACGCAGGUGGGGGUGGCUUUGCUUUCCAUGGCGACGGACCUGGGUGGAGGGCUUCGACGUGCUGGUUGCUCUGACAUUCGGCACAUGUUAUGGUUUUGUCGCAGUUCUUUGCAAUGUGUGUGGUGGAAGCACAACAGCGGUAGCAGAUGGACUUUUCUUUGAGGUAUUGCUUACGGUCAGCUAGCAGUUUGUCUCUAAAGCUCCUACAUGCUCCUAAAGAGUGGGGCUUUUUGUGGAUCGGGCAUUGCUUGGUGAGGUCUAAAGUGUCAGCUUCAAGCUCACCUUUCUGGCUGGACUCGGCAACUUGAGUCUUGUGGACUGCAACGGGCUGGUUGACUUUACUCUGGAGACUUCUGGGCUUGUCUCUGGUUGUGGCAGGCGAAGGUGGCAUGUUGACUGUGAAGCUAGGGUCGUUUCUUGCUUUGGCUUGGUUCUGAAUGAAGCUGACAAACACACUGAACGGGGGGAAGGACACCUGUUGUUGUUGUUUUAUCUGAGAGCCGUAGGAUAUCCACUUCUCCUGUAGAUUGUAUGGAAGCUUUUCGACGAUCGGGGCUAUUCCUCUAGCAGUGUCCAAGUAAGCUAGUCCUGGAAGAAAUCCAUCCUGCUUUGCUGCAUGCAGUUCUUGUAGCAGGUCGGCUAAGUCACGUAGGUUGGUUGGAUCUUUGUUGGAGAUCUUCGGGAAGCUUUCCAGUCUGGCGAACAGCGCCCCCUCGAUUGCUUCGGGGGUGCCAUAACAGUCUUCGAUGCGCUGCCAGAUGGCUUGGAGGGCACCUUGGGGGUCUCUGAUGUAGGCUGCCCUGAGCCUGCGUGCUUGCUCGGACGACUCUUUGCCGAGCCAUUUGAUCAGGAGGUCAGUCUCCUCUGCUACUGACAGGCCUAUGUUGUCUAUGGCAUUGCAGAAUGAUGCUUUCCACGUCCAGUAAUUCUCUACUUUGUCAUCGAACUUUGUCAGCCCUGUAGAGACGAUCUGGUUUCUAGCAAUGAACUUGGCCAGGUCCACCGUCGGGGAGUUGUGUCCAUCUUGGACAGGCAUGUGAUGACGUAAGGUAGGGUAUGGAGCAGGAGUGGGCGGCCCAUAGUCUUCUCCUCCCUGCCAUGCUUGGUUGCUGGCUUGGAGUGGCAUGUGGUACGCACUUGCAGGUGGCACGGGUGGCUGUAGAGCUGGCUGUUGUAGCUGUAGAACUGGCUGUAGAGCUGGUUGUAGUGCUGGCUGUAGAGACUGUAGUGCUGGCUGUAGAGAUGACUGUUGUGGCUGCAGUGCUGGCUGUUGUAGCUGUAGAGCUGGCUGUUGUAGCUGUAGAGCUGGCUGUUGUAGCUGUAGAGCUGGCUGUAGAGCUGGUUGUAGUGCUAGCUGUAGAGACUGUAGUGCUGGCUGUAGAGAUGACUGUUGUGGCUGCAGUGCUGGCUGUUGUAGCUGUAGAGCUGGCUGUUGUAGCUGUAGAACUGGCUGUUGUAGCUGUAGAGCUGGCUGUUGUAGCUGUAGAGCUGGCUGUAGAGACUGUAGUGCUGGCUGUGGUACUAUCUGUGCUGACGGUAGGAGUCGUCUCGGAGCUGGUGUCGGUCUCAGGGGCUGUCCUGACGAUGUCGCUGGAUGCAGAGCGGACGGUGUCACUGGAUGCAGGGCGGACGAUGUCGCUGGAUGCUGCACUGGAGGUCGUACGGCUGGCUGAGUUGGAGGAUGUGCUGGUGUGAGCUGGCGGCUUUGGUUCAGUUCUGACCCUGGUUCCCCGAGGCUGUCGUCAUCUUCCAAUUCUGCUUGAAGAACUGCUGCUUCAGCUAUUGCAGCCUCCAUUUCUUUUCUGCACCGCAACACCUCCAAUUCAGCUUCUGCUUUGGCAGCUUGUAGUUCUGAUUCAGCUUUCUGAAGUUUCAGUGCCAUUUCCCUUUCAGAAAAGGCUGCUUUGGCUCUUGCUGCUUGGGCUUUGGCUUUAGCGGUUGCUAGCACGGUGCUCUUCCGAGAGCUGUAUGAUGAUCCGUGUUGAGACAUUGAACAGACCGAGCCUGAUGCCGAUAGCACUGAUCUUAUCUCCCAGUCACCGGCGUCUGCUUCGGUCUUGCCAGGAGAAUUGUAAUGUGGCAUUUUGGUUGGGGAAUCCAUGGCAUAUGGAGCAGGGGGAACGUCUGGGCAGCUCACGUGACGGCUUGGGAAGCGCGGGCUAAUGGCAUUGUCUUGACGGGCAAAACUGACUUUCAUGCUAGCCGUUGAAGUUCUGUCUUCUUCUUGACAGGCGAGGGUCUGCCGUUUUACUGUACUGGCCUCACUAAACGUUUGCGUGUUCAGCUAUCCAGUGCGUGUAAACAGCUGGCGAGGAGAACAACAAAAAGGAGGAAUGCCGACCCAUCUUCAUUUUCUCCUCUCCUUUUAUUCCACACACGUUGUGUAAAACAUAAAGCUGUAAAACUAGACAGAAAUAAAAACACAUUUUAGCUAAUGUCUGUCUGAAUCAUAUUCGAAUCCAUAUUCAACAAAGACAUUGUUUUACUUUUGAGCAGAUUGACCGCGGGAAGCUAAGACGCUUGCUAACAAACGGUACAUCAGUUUUCUUCCAUAAAUCUCUCAUUCACUUUAGAAAAUAGUCAUCAAAAACACAUGACAAUAAAACUCACCAGCAUUGCCCCCGUGGGGGAAUCACAACUGAUUCGGGUUUGAAGAAGAAUUAAUGGAUUUCACAUUUGACCACGAAGAACAGCUUGUGCUAACUGAAGGCUCGUGUUGACUAGCAACUGAAAUCUCGUUCCAACGAGAACAGGAAACAGAAAUUAUACACAAAGGCUGCUAUUGCCAACGGUGGCCAAUAGAUGGUGUUAGCGCUUUGUAAAUAACCAAGGAACACUAUGUAGAAACACAAAAAUUAAUGAAUGAAUGGUCUGUAAGACCAACACAGAGUGAGAUAUGCUUAGGGUGGCGUAGCUCAGUGGGUAGAGUGGCUGUCUCACACCCAGGAGGCUGGGGUUCGAUUCCAGGUGUGAGUGAGUGAGUUAUGCAUUGGGUGGCGUACCUCAGUGGGUAGAGUGGCUGUCUCACACCCAGGAGGCUGGAGUUUGAUUCCAAGUGGCCAAUACUGCUUACAAUAAAACAAAUCUGGUUCAGAUAUCUUACCAACUGCCUUUGUAAAGAGACUUUAUGGACACCCUGUAUGUAUGUAUAUAAAUAUAAAAUCCCCUUUCUCACCCCCACUUUGGCGAUGUGGUAUUUUUCCCUUCAUGCUCGGGUUCUCUACGAGACGUCUGGGAGUUUGAGGGUUCUGUGCUGUACAUUAGCUGUUCCUAGGACUUUGGUCUUCUUGGCAGAGACCUCAGAUGUUGUUCCUGGAAUCUGCUGGAGCCACUCCUCCAGUUUGCAGCUCACUGCUCCCUGAGCUCCAAUCACCACUGGCACCAGGUCUGUAUGUGGGCCACAAACUGCACAUUUUAUAUUGUUUGUAGGAUCCACAACCUUGAAGCAAUGGCAGCCAACUGAUGUCUCCUGGUUACAGGACUGAGUCUUUCUGUGUCAGAUGCCGCAUUAUCAAAACCCAUAUAUUUGAAUGUUUAAGGAUCCAAUUUUUGUAAGCCCUACAAUAUUUCCCAUUAAACUGUUGUUUUUUUGUUGUUCUUUUAACCUGUUAUGCACACCAUGUUCUCUGAUGCCAUUGCAAUCUGUUUGUCUGCUGACAGAAAAUCUUUACAAACCUCUUAGUCUGUCUUAAUAUAUGUAGUCUGUCUGAGCAGUCGGUGAAUUUAGAAAAGAUAAAUGUAGGUAGGAUCAUUUGACAUACAACAGAAUUAGGCUGUUCCAUAGGGCCCAUUUUUAACAGAUAUACAGUACAAGCAAUUCAAACUCUUGAGGAAAAAAAACACCUCUUUGUUCAGAUUCAUGAUCAUACCACUUUAUCUCCAGAUGCACCAUCUGCUGCAAUACAGACUCUAACUGUAAAAUAAAAAUGAAAUAUGUUCAAAUGUCCGUUGACUAACAGUGUAAAUACGCAGGAGAUAUUAAAGCACCAUCUCUACAGUAUUAUGCUGAUAAUUACAACAUAUGCAGCGCACUAAUCUGCUUUCAGUAAGUUCUGUCAUUCUGAUGACUGAUGUGGCCAUAAAUUUCAAACAACUUAGAUUGUCUGCUCGGAUCUCUCAUGGUUUUGAGCUACGUUUGAACUCACAUGGUUUAUGCUCUGUUUUAGCCACAUUCACAACUAGAAAAUUUUAGCUUUUAGAUGAAGUGCCAUACAUACAUUUUGGGCUUGAGGUUUGUUCCUUCUCCGUAUUCACAUUUUGGGAAUGCCAAAUAGGUGAAAAUUCAAUCAAAAAGGGGUGGAUGUUUAGUAAAAGUCGUAAAACCACAAAAAUAUCGCCUCCAGCAUUACUUACAGAGGCACAUGAACCCACAACAAUUCUCAACUUGUCAUUUUAAAUGACUCUGUUUUACAUAAACAAGAUUAAACAUUUAAAUUAUUAACUUAAUUGCGUAAUAGCAUUAAUUUCCUGUUCCCUCUUGCUAGUCCUGUUGCAUUUUACAAACUGCGCAACAAAUUUACUGGCUUCAGCGGUUCAAAGACUUCUGUUGCUUUGCCACAUUCCACAGCAGAGACACAUGAAUGACUGAACAGGGGGGGAAAACAAGCAUGAAGAAACAGAGAGAAAGAAAAACACCUUACAACACACGUGCUAUGUCAGGCAUGGUUACCGUACAAACCAGGGCUCCAUGAACCACCCUGACAUGACUGGGGAGGAUAUCAUGUCUCUCUGGGUGGAAAGAGGGUCAUCUAAUGUUCCAUUUGUCAAUGUUUUUGUUAUUUCUUUGAGUUUUCAAUUUUUUUUUUUCUGACAAAUACUGUCUUCUUCCCAGGCUGCCCGCAGAAGUCUGGCUCUACUUAGCUCAGCGUGCAGCAGGGAGCCACGCUCCUCCCCUCAGCCACCCACUGUGGAGAUAUCUGAGUUUACUGAUGAUGUGCCAGCAACACUGCACAAAAUAUGACUGUGAUUACUGUGUGGAGCAGAGGUUACAUAAGGCUUUAAGCCAGUCAUUAGGAAAGAUGUUUUUAACAUUUUCUCAAAUCUGUAUUUGGCUCUUGUCGAGCUGUUAGUAAAUGUUGUUGGUAUUUGUGGUGUCAUUUUGUUGUGAGAGAUUAUGUCUAAUUCAACUUCCAUGGUACAGUAAAGCCCGCAGUUGAUUCCAAAUUCAAUACUACAUUAUAUAGAAUCAAUACAGCUUGAAAUUGCAUGAGACAUACAGUGCCUUGUGAAAGUAUUCGGCCCCCUUGAACUUUUCAACCUUUCGCCACAUUUCAGGCUUCAAACAUAAAGAUAUAAAAUUUUAAUUUUUUGUCAAGAAUCAACAACAAGUGGGACACAAUUGUGAAGUGGAAUGAAAUUUAUUGGAUAUUUUAUACUUUUUUAACAAAUAAAAAACUGAAAAGUGGGGUGUGCAAUAUUAUUCGGCCCCUUUACUUUCAGUGCAGCAAACUCACUCCAGAAGUUCAGUGAGGAUCUCUGAAUGAUCCAAUGUUGUCCUAAAUGACUGAUGAUGAUAAAUAGAAUCCACCUGUGUGUAUUCAAGUCUCCGUAUAAAUGCACCUGCUCUGUGAUAGUCUCAGGGUUCUGUUUAAAGUGCAGAGAGCAUCAUGAAGACCAAGGAAUACACCAGGCAGGUCUGAGAUACUGUUGUGGAGAAGUUUAAAGCCGGAUUUGGAUACAAAAAGAUUUCCCAAGCUUUAAACAUCUCAAGGAGCACUGUGCAAGCAAUCAUAUUGAAAUGGAAGGAGUAUCAGACCACUGCAAAUCUACCAAGACCCGGCCGUCCCUCUAAACUUUCACCUCGAACAAGGAGAAGACUGAUCAGAGAUGCAGCCAAGAGGCCCAUGAUCACUCUGGAUGAACUGCAGAGAUCUACAGCUGAGGUGGGAGAGUCUGUCCAUAGGACAACAAUCAGCCGUACACUGCACAAAUCUGGCCUUUAUGGAAGAGUGGCAAGAAGAAAGCCAUUUCUCAAAGAUAUCCAUAAAAAGUCUCGUUUGAAGUUUGCCACAAGCCACCUGGGAGACGCACCAAACAUGUGGAAGAAGGUGCUCUGGUCAGAUGAAACCAAAAUCGAACUUUUUGGCCACAAUGCAAAAGGAUGUGUUUGGCGUAAAAGCAACACAGCUCAUCACCCUGAACACACCAUCCCCACUGUCAAACAUGGUGGUGGCAGCCUCAUGGUUUGGGCCUGCUUUUCUUCAGCAGGGACAGGGAAGAUGGUUAAAAUUGAUGGGAAGAUGAAUGGAGCCAAAUACAGGACCAUUCUGGAAGAAAACCUGUUGGAGUCUGCAAAAGACCUGAGACUGGGACGGAGAUUUAUCUUCCAACAGGACAAUGAUCCAAAACAUAAAGCCAAAUCUACAAUGGAAUGGUUCACAAAUAAACGUAUCCAGGUGUUAGAAUGGCCAAGUCAAAGUCCAGACCUGAAUCCAAUCGAGAAUCUGUGGGCAGAGCUGAAGACUGCUGUUCACAAAUGCUCUUCAUCCAACCUCACUGAGCUCGAGUUGUUUUGCAAGGAAGAAUGGGCAAGAAUUUCAGUCUCUCAAUGUGCAAAACUGAUAGAGACAUACCCCAAGCGACUUGUAGCUGUCAUUGCAGCAAAAGGUGGCGCUACAAAGUAUUAAUGCAAGGGGGCCGAAUAAUAUUGCACGCCCCACUUUUCAGGUUUUUAUUUGUUAAAAAAGUUUAAAGUAUCCAAUAAAUUUCGUUCCACUUCACGAUUGUGUCCCACUUGUUGUUGAUUCUUGACAAAAAAUUAAAAUUUUAUAUCUUUAUGUUUGAAGCCUGAAAUGUGGCGAAAGGUUGAAAAGUUCAAGGGGGCCGAAUACUUUCACAAGGCACUGUAUAUCUUUUUUGUCUCAGAGUUUUGCCUAAAUUAUAAAAAAAAUCUGCCUCAUAUUUUGAGUUGUCUUCUAAGACUGCUGCAUGUUAACGAUAGGACAUGCUUGUUUAUGUUUUUUAAACUCUGAUUCCAUUUGCAUCAGUGUCACUUUAGAUAAUAGACUUGCAGAUUUCAUAAUCAGCAAGAGUGAUGCUUUUUUUGUGCUCACAUCAGGUUCACUGGGGCCGUCAAGCAUCGCUGCUGUUCCAAUUUGAAGCAAGGACGAGGAAACAAAAAUUAUCUGGAUGGAACUAUGGGAAACGUUAAUCUGGUUCCACUGAGUGUUGAACUCAUAAUGUAGUUCGCUGAAAUUACACAAAAGCAUAUUACAAUAGUUUAACACGUGUCCUUUUUCAAAUCAAUAUUGUUCCGCGACGAUGAUAAAAUCAUCCCUUCCUGACAUCAGUUUAAUAUCUUUAUGGUUUGCUAUGAAACAGCAUAGAUGAAAAGAUUUCUCAGGGAUAUACAAGUACAUGAAUAUCCAAAUUUAUAUUAGAGCGUGCUGUCAUGAAGGGAAAACAGUAAAAAAGCAGAUGUUAGAGAAGACAAAAAACUGAUAAAUCCUUUUCAAAUAGUUUGACAAAACACAGAGGAGAGUGAUCUAGUGCUAAUUAAAUGGUGCAAACGACCCACAGUGAUUAGCUACAGAACCAGGAGACCCACAGUCUGUGUCGCCAUCUGUUGGUGAUGAGCAUACACAGCAGGAAAAACUCCCCAGCUUAAAACCCUCAAGCGGAGAAGCAGUAGUUUAUGUAGACUUAUAUUUUACAAAACGUGAGCAGUGUUGAGGGAAUCGAAUCCAGGAGGAUUGGAUUAAAAUGGCUCUUGAAACCAUAAUGUGUUGGAUUUAUGUGGGAGAAAUUACUGUAGGAAACAUUUGAAGACGCAUUGAUGAAUCAUUGUUAGAGCACUCGUGUUUAUUGCAGGGCUUGGUUUGCAUAAUUGUUUAUGGGUGUUAACUCUUAUAACCAAAAUCUACCUAAAACAGUGAAACCAGACAGCAAAUUAACUUUCUUGUUAAUAUCAGUUUGAUUUACGGUGUUGACAUGAAAACAGUCUGAAGAAUAUAGGUUCUGUGUGCAGUUCAACAAAAGGAAUGACAAAAUAGUCUUAUAACAGCAGUAGCAGUAAUAUAGUAGAUUUAUACAAAGGCAUCACAGCUAAAGAAAUGGUGACAUAUUUGUCUUCCUAAGCAGUGUUAGAUUAGACCAACUCAGAGCUGACGUUCAAUAUCAAUCUAUCUAUCUAUCAAUCAAUCAAUCAAUCAAUCAAUCAAUCAAUCAAUCAAUCUAUCUAUCUAUCUAUCUAUCUAUCUAUCUAUCUAUCUAUCUAUCUAUCUAUCUAUCUAUCUAUCUAUCAAUCAAUCAAUCAAUCAAUCAAUCAAUCAAUCAAUCAAUCAAUCUAUCUAUCUAUCUAUCUAUCUAUCUAUCUAUCUAUCUAUCUAUCUAUCUAUCUAUCUAUCUAUCUAUCUAUCUAUCUAUCUAUCUAUCAAGACGUAUUUAUAGAGCACUUUACAAUGCUCAAAGGUGACCAAAGUGCUUUCCAGUUAAAAUCAAACAGUAAAAUUAGAAUAAAAGCAAAUUAAAAGAAAGGAACAAUAGAACACAUGUCAACAAAUAAAAUAAAAUCAAAUAAGAUAAAAUAAAAUAGAAUAUCACCACAUUACUGAGUAGUAAAAGCCAGUCUAAAAAGAUAUGCUUUGAGCCGGGCUUUGAAAAGGCCAAAGUCGGAUGGUGCGCCUGUCAGGGGGCAGCUUGUUCCAAAGAAACUGAAAAAGUCAGAGAUAUAAGCAAAAUCUCUGACCAUGCUUUUAAUGUUAAUAUUACUAGUUCAUCACAGUGAUGAAAACUACCACCUUGAUGUUGCAUGCAGCACAGCUGGUAGAAUAAAGAAUGAAAGAUUUAGUUCAGUCCUGGUCUGCUUUUUAUAUUCAUUUACAUUCAUUUUCUCUAAAUACUUGCAGAUGAAUGCCUACUCUGUCCUCCCUGUUUCAGGCAGAGUCUUCUGAGUUCAGAGUAAACUCAGGAGAUGCCACUGCCAGUCACUGAUCCCUCAGACAAGCUACAGUACGUCAUCAUGAGAUGAGAGGAUUGACUGCUAAAAAGGAUUACACCAUUUGAAAAUUUUCCUGUCCAAAACUGCUUAACCACUUUGACUGGAGAAAGGAUACAUUCGUGAUGAAGCCAGAUCAAUUCAGAAUAUUUCUGGGGGCUGAUUAUGUUCUUGCGGGAUUGAUGUUGCUGAAUCGUGGACAGACAAAAGAUUAUUUGAGGUCAGAGAUGCAUCACAGCGGCAUAGUGUGGUAAAGCCAAUAUUAUCGUUCUGUAUUUAUGAAAUUAUCAAAAUGCCCUAAUAAAAGCAAACAAGUAAAAUUAGAUCUAAUAUGUAUCAAGUGGGGGCAGCACAGCUCAGUGGGUAGAGUGGCUGUUUUGCAACCACAGGGUUGUCGGUUCAAUCCUUGGCCCGGAGAGCUCAUGUCUCAGUGUCCCUGAGCAAGACACCAAACCCCUAACUGCCCCUGAUGGGUCGUGGUUAGCGCCUUGCAUGGCAGCUUCUGCCAUCAGUGUGUGAAUGGGUGAAUGUGACGUGUAAUGUAAAGUGCUUUGGGUAUCUUUCAGGUAUAGUAAAGUGCUAUAUAAAUACAGACCAUUUACCAUCAUCACAUGUACACAUUUACUAGUCAGAAUUAAAGAAGAAACAAUGAUGUUGGGACGUCUUCUACUGUAUGACACUGACUUGAUUACUGUGUGGUACAUGAUUUUAGUCAGUUAUUCAUAUUGUUAACAAGCUAAGUGACAUACAGAGCCUAUAAAAAUUAUCCCCUAACAAAUUCUCAAUUGGAUUGAGGUCUGGACUCUGACUCGACCACUUCAAAGCAUUCACCUUGUUGUCUUGAAACCAUUUCUGUACAGCUUUGGCUGUUUGCUUCAGGUCAUUGUCUUGCUGGAAAACAAAUCCUCUCAAGUUGCAGUGCUCUUGCAGACUGCAUCAGGUUGUCCUCCAGGAUUUUCCUUUAUUUUGCUGCAAUAAUUUUACCUUCUAUCUUCACAAGCCCUCAAGAACCUGCUCCUGAGAAGCAUCAUGAUGCUGGUUCUUCUGGUUGACUUCUGAAUAUUAGAGUCACUUAAAAAGGGAAGAACACUUAUGCAACCACUUAUUUAAUGUUCGUUGUUUAUUUUAGUUAAUUGACAUUACUUUGUAGCGGACUGUUUUUACCUCAAAAGUCUUCAGGGAAAAUUGUUGUCAUAAAUUGGAAAAUUAAAUUUACUAUAAUUCAAUAUUGAAAAAGAAAUAAACGGAAAAAGCUUCUAAUUGGGGUGAAAACUUUUUACAGACACUGCAUGUUUUCAGUUUAUCAUUCCACACAUAAAGUGCACGCAUUAAAAAAUGUGUCUUCUAUUUUAUUCUAUGUCUUUCCUGUUGUUUUUUAUCCAUCCAGCCAUUUUCUAUACACCGUUUAAUCCUCAUUAGGGUCAUGGGCUUAGGGUGAAGGCAGGGGACGCUUGGACAGGUCACCAGUCUAUCACAGAGCUACGCAUAAAGACAAUCAGUCACACUCACAUUCACACCUGUGGACAAUUUAGAAUCACCAAUUAACCUCAGCAUGUUUCUGGGGUGGGGAGGAAGCCAGAGAGCCCAGAGAAAAGCCACACAAGCACAGGGAGAACAUGCAAACUCCAUGCAGAAAGGGAUCUUCUAGCUGCAAGGCAACAGUGCUAACCACUAAGCACUGUGCAGCCCUGGUUUAGUCUUUCACCAUUAAAAUAACUGAAAUGCCAGCAAAUAAAAAUGAACAAUCAGUACCAUUUUUAGUGUGUGUUCUAGUACAAAUGAAUGUCCGCCUGUGUCAGGGGAUCUUCUGGCAACGCAACAGUGCUAACCACCGAGACACUGUGUAGACCUUUUGUUAUUUAUAAGUAUUAUACAUCUUCCAUAUGUGAGAUUAUGAGCCAGAAUAAGUAUUUCUACUCAUUACAUGAACUGUAAAAAGACAGAAGACUGAUAUGAAGCCUGCAACUAUAUUUCACGGUUUUCUGUGUAGCAUCUAAAGUGGGAUCAUUUUGACAAUCUGAUGUCUGAGCUCAGUGCCAAAACCAUUUCAAAGAAUGAUCCCUUACAUCAAUUGUAUGUAUUACACCAACUGCAUAGCAUAAUUUCACCCAUCUGGUGAUCUUCAACAAGCAAAUGAACUUGCUCCACAUGUUGCCCAUUAACUGUCUUCUGUCAGCACACUAAACUUGAACUUCUGGUAUGAAAAGUC